GAUGAACGCUGGCGGCGUGCCUAAUACAUGCAAGUCGAGCGAACGGACGAGAAGCUUGCUUCUCUGAUGUUAGCGGCGGACGGGUGAGUAACACGUGGAUAACCUACCUAUAAGACUGGGAUAACUUCGGGAAACCGGAGCUAAUACCGGAUAAUAUUUUGAACCGCAUGGUUCAAAAGUGAAAGACGGUCUUGCUGUCACUUAUAGAUGGAUCCGCGCUGCAUUAGCUAGUUGGUAAGGUAACGGCUUACCAAGGCAACGAUGCAUAGCCGACCUGAGAGGGUGAGCGGCCACACUGGAACUGAGACCCGGUCCAGACUCCUACGGGAGGCAGCAGUAGGGAAUCUUCCGCAGUGGGCGAAAGCCUGACGGAGCAACGCCGCGUGAGUGAUGAAGGUCUUCGGAUCGUAAAACUCUGUUAUUAGGGAAGAACAUAUGUGUAAGUAACUGUGCACAUCUUGACGGUACCUAAUCAGAAAGCCACGGCUAACUACGUG
rnacentral:rRNA from 1 species